rnacentral:rRNA from 1 species
UACGGGGGGGGCGAGCGUUGUUCGGAAUCACUGGGCGUAAAGGGCGCGUAGGCGGCCCGCACAAGUCUGCGGUGAAAACCCCCGGCUUAACCGGGGGCCGGCCGUGGAAACUGUCGGGCUAGAGGCCGGGAGAGGGCAGCGGAAUUCCCGGUGUAGCGGUGAAAUGCGUAGAGAUCGGGAGGAACACCGGCGGCGAAGGCGGCUGCCUGGACCGGCCCUGACGCUGGGGCGCGAAAGCUAGGGGAGCAAACAGG